CAGGCGGCUGGCAGAGGUUAAGGCCUGGCUUCUGCUCCCGUCGCGUCCCGGCGCGUCCGGGUUCAAAUUCGCCUGCCGACCUCUCGGGGUGAUUGAGAGGUGAUGAAAUGGGAGGUGGCCCCCCAACUUGUGGACGGUGUAGGACGUGAUAAAAUCAACUCGCGAGCUGACCAGGAACUAAGUUGACGCGCCGUUGAUCCGCUAGAUUUGGUUGGAUGCUGGUGAUGAGUUGCCAAACUCAAAGAGUACACUCUGAAGUCGGAUGGGGUGAAUGGCUUAGGGUGCCCCUCUAGCAGGGGAGAGCAGGGAAUUGCCUCGGGAAGGAGGCCACUGGUGAAGCUUAACCACCCUGUAACAACAUCAACAAUCAGCG
rnacentral:lncRNA from 1 species